UUUCUCUUUUUCUCUCUCUCGAAGCUUCGGAGAUGAUCUGAUCUGCCAUCACCGUCGUUUUGCAGAGGCGCGGAACUUCUCCGUUCGAUGAUGACGACCCCCAGGUCGCUUU
ensembl:ncRNA F37H8.8 ncRNA